rnacentral:rRNA from 1 species
GUCCACGCCCUAAACUAUGUCAACUGGUUGUCGGGAAGCAAUUCCUUGGUAACGAAGCUAACGCGUGAAGUUGACCGCCUGGGGAGGUACGGCCGCAAGGUUAAAACUCAAAGGAAUUGACGGGGACCCGCACAAGCGGUGGAUUAUGUGGAUUAAUUCGAUGCAACGCGAAAAACCUUACCUACCCUUGACAUGUACGGAACCUCGCAGAGAUGUGAGGGUGCUCGAAAGAGAACCGUAACACAGGUGCUGCAUGGCUGUCGU